rnacentral:rRNA from 1 species
UAGAGUUUGAUCCUGGCUCAGAACGUACGCUGGCGGCACGCCUAACACAUGCAAGUCGAACGAAGUAGCAAUACUUAGUGGCAAACGGGUGAGUAAUAUGUGGGAAUCUACCCUUCGGUCUGGAAUAACAUGAGGAAACUUAUGCUAAUACCGGAUAAGCCUUUACAGGGAAAGCUUUAUGCUCCGAUUGAUGAGUCCACACUUGAUUAGUUAGUUGGUGAGGUAAUAGCUCACCAAGACAAUGAUCAAUAGCUGAUUUGAGAGGAUGAUCAGCCACAUUGGGACUGAGACACGGCCCAAACUCCUACGGGAGGCAGCAGUGGGGAAUAUUGCACAAUGGGGGAAACCCUGAUGCAGCGAUGCCGCGUGAGUGAAGAAGGCCCUUGGGUUGUAAAGCUCUUUCGUCGAGGAAGAAAAUGACUGUACUCGAAUAAGAAGGUCCGGCUAACUUCGUGCCAGCAGCCGCGGUAAUACGAAGGGACCUAGCGUAGUUCGGAAUUACUGGGCUUAAAGAGCACGUAGGUGGUUAAAAAAGUUGGUGGUGAAAUCCCAGAGCUUAACUCUGGAACUGCCAUCAAAACUUUUUAGCUAGAGUAUGAUAGAGGAAAGCAGAAUUUCUAGUGUAGAGGUGAAAUUCGUAGAUAUUAGAAGGAAUACCAAUUGCGAAGGCAGCUUUCUGGAUCAUUACUGACACUGAGGUGCGAAAGCAUGGGUAGCGAAGAGGAUUAGAUACCCUC